UCUACACGCCACCACCCACUUUGCUUGAGUGAAAUAAAUUUUUGACUGCCUUUUCAUUUACAUUUUGGCAUUUCAAUUGAAAUUUAUUUGCAUAUUCAUAAAAUCAGUCGGCGAGCCGCCACCCAUACGCCUCAGGUCUCCGGCAAAGUGAAGCACAAAGUUUAUGAUUCCGAAAUGCAAACGACCGCAAAUACGAGUACUGCAGCCUGGCAGGCAUAAAGCAGAGUCGCCAAACCACCCUUCUGGCUGUCAAUGCAACCCACACGGACCGGCGGCCACGGCCACUUUCAUAUACAUACAUAUAAAUAAAUAUAUCAAUAUUUCUGUAUAUCUAUUGUGGAACCGAUAUGAAAUUGUUAUAAAUAAAAGUGCACAAAGUUAAA